rnacentral:rRNA from 1 species
CACGGGGGGAGCAAGCGUUGUUCGGAAUCACUGGGCGUAAAGGGCGUGUAGGCGGUCGAGUAAGUGGAAUGUGAAAUACUCCGGCUCACCCGGAGCACUGCAUCCCAAACUGCUCGGCUUGAGUAUGGGAGAGGACAAGGGAAUUCCCGGUGUAGUGGUGAAAUGCGUAGAUAUCGGGAGGAACACCAGUGGCGAAGGCGGCUUCCUGGCCUGUUCUUGACGCUGAGGCGCGAAAGCUAGGGUAGCAAACGGG